UUGAGAUGGGCCCGCGGUGCAUUAGCUAGUUGGUGAGGUAACAGCUCACCAAGGCCACGAUGCAUAGCCGACCUGAGAGGGUGAUCGGCCACAUUGGAACUGAGACACGGUCCAGACUCCUACGGGAGGCAGCAGUGGGGAAUAUUGCGCAAUGGGGGAAACCCUGACGCAGCAACGCCGCGUGGGUGAUGAAGGUUUUCGGAUUGUAAAACCCUGUCUUCUGGGACGAUAAUGACGGUACCAGAGGAGGAAGCCACGGCUAACUAC
rnacentral:rRNA from 1 species